rnacentral:rRNA from 1 species
UGGGGAAUAUUGCACAAUGGGCGAAAGCCUGAUGCAGCGACGCCGCGUGAGGGAUGACGGCCUUCGGGUUGUAAACCUCUUUCAGUAGGGACGAAGCGCAAGUGACGGUACCUGCAGAAGAAGCACCAGCUAACUACGUGCCAGCAGCCGCGGUAAUACGUAGGGUGCGAGCGUUGUCCGGAAUUACUGGGCGUAAAGAGCUCGUAGGCGGUUUGUCACGUCGUCUGUGAAAUCCUAGGGCUUAACCCUGGACGUGCAGGCGAUACGGGCUGACUUGAGUACUACAGGGGAGACUGGAAUUUCUGGUGUAGCGGUGGAAUGCACAGAUAUCAGGAAGAACACCGAUGGCGAAGGCAGGUCUCUGGGUAGUAACUGACGCUGAGGAGCGAAAGCAUGGGUAGCGAACAGG